UCGAGAGUUUGAUCCUGGCUCAGGACGAACGCUGGCGGCGUGCUUAACACAUGCAAGUCGAACGGAAAGGCCCUGCUUGCAGGGUGCUCGAGUGGCGAACGGGUGAGUAACACGUGGGUGAUCUGCCCCUGACUUUGGGAUAAGCCUGGGAAACUGGGUCUAAUACCGGAUAUGACCAAGGAUUGCAUGGUUCUUGGUGGAAAGCUUUUGCGGUUGGGGAUGGGCCCGCGGCCUAUCAGCUUGUUGGUGGGGUAAUGGCCUACCAAGGCGACGACGGGUAGCCGACCUGAGAGGGUGAUCGGCCACACUGGGACUGAGACACGGCCCAGACUCCUACGGGAGGCAGCAGUGGGGAAUAUUGCACAAUGGGCGCAAGCCUGAUGCAGCGACGCCGCGUAAGGGAUGACGGCCUUCGGGUUGUAAACCUCUUUCAGCAGGGACGAAGCGCGAGUGACGGUACCUGCAGAAGAAGCACCGGCCAACUACGUGCCAGCAGCCGCGGUAAUACGUAGGGUGCGAGCGUUGUCCGGAAUUACUGGGCGUAAAGAGCUCGUAGGCGGUUUGUCGCGUCGUCUGUGAAAUUCUGCAGCUUAACUGCAGGCGUGCAGCGAUACGGGCAGACUUGAGUACUACAGGGGAGACUGGAAUUCCUGGUGUAGCGGUGAAAUGCGCAGAUAUCAGGAGGAACACCGGUGGCGAAGCGGGUCUCUGGG
rnacentral:rRNA from 1 species